AGGAUGAACGCUGGCGGUCUGCUUAACACAUGCAAGUCGAACGGAGUAGCAAUACUUAGUGGCGGACGGGUGAGUAACGCGUGAGAAUCUACCUUCAGGACGGAGACAACAGUUGGAAACGACUGCUAACCCCCGAUGUACCGAAAGGGCAAAUAUUUAUAGCCUGAAGAAGAGCUCGCGUCCGAUUAGCUAGUUGGAGAGGUAAAAGCUCACCAAGGCGACGAUCGGUAGCUGGUCUGAGAGGAUGAUCAGCCACACUGGGACUGAGACACGGCCCAGACUCCUACGGGAGGCAGCAGUGGGAAUUUUCCGCAAUGGGCGAAAGCCUGACGGAGCAAGACCGCGUGAGGGAGGAAGGCUCUUGGGUUGUAAACCUCUUUUCUUGGGGAAGAACAAAAUGACGGUACCCAAGGAAUCAGCAUCGGCUAACUCCGUGCCAGCAGCCGC
rnacentral:rRNA from 1 species